CAAUUUUUUUAUGCUGACUUAGAUAAUAAUUUUUAUACCAAAAUAUACUCAUCUCCCUCUUACUCCCUCUGACGAGUUAAAUGGAAAAUGUAUUUUCUUUUGACAUUUUUGCACGUCAUUCUAUCGAAGAAGUUUGUCCAACCUAAGUGGUGAAAAUUUAAAUAUUUUUUUUUUUGAAAUAAAGAAAAGAAAACCACCACCAUAUAAUAAGUAGUGACUUUUUUUAAAUUCAAAGUGCUUAAAUCGCCAAAUUGAAAGCAAACAAAAUUGGAAUUUUUUUAUAUAAAAUUGUGGAGACUCUACGUACUUUAGUCGUUUGACUCACGUUUAAACGUAAAACAGAAAAAUUAAAAUAACAAUUAAGUGGUUGAUUUUCGGCGGUCCAAGAUAUCCAUCUUAGAACUGGACCGCCGCACGUUUUUUUAUAAAAAAAAUUUUGUGGAUUCUUUUAUUGAAUAAUCCUUACUGCCUGAACUGUGGUCAAUUUCGGUUAAUCGUUUUGGAUCUGGGCGAGCGAAAGCCACAUAAAGGACGUGGUUUGAGGUUCCAAUCUAAGAGGUCGGAGCUCUUACGCAGCCAUCCGAGUCGCAUGUCCACCGGAGCACCUCGUCCUUAUAGAGUCCCAGCUGGCUGCAACGUUAAUCCCCAAGAAAAGAUCCUGAAACAAAGAAAAACGAAAUUAGUAAAAGAAACCAGGUCACAUUACGAAUUGCAGUUUGGUUGCUACGAAUUGUCAAACUCUAUUCGCGUUCCACAUACCAUCCACACACACCUCAAAAUUACUCUUGUUUUUGUUUUCUAUUCUGGUCAUGGCUGCGGAGAACAUGGAGAAAAGGGAAUUUGACGAAAAACUAAUUUUGGAAGUUGAAGCCAAUCCAGCUUUGUACAACAAAAGCGAACGUUCCUACUCCGACCGCUACAAAAAGGAAGAAGGAUGGCAAAAUAUUGCAAUUGUUUUGAAUGCAGAUGGUAAAAAAAUCAAAUUCGUUUUUAUUUAUUUUUGCAUUCAACAAAUCUUACUUUCAAUUCAGUGAAACUAUGCAAGGAACGAUGGAAAAAUUUGCGAGACACAUUUGCAAAGUACUAUAAAAAAGAAAAAUACAAUCCUAGUGGCUCACAAGCACCAAUUAAAAUAUCUUGGCCCUACUAUAGGGUUGCCAGAUAUAUUUUGACGAAACUAGUAAUCGAGAUGUAAAAUCCCGGACUUUCCCGGACAAAUAAGGACACAAAAAAGAGUACAAAUCUAGGACAAAAGGAAUGCAUAGUUUUAUAAAAACAAAAAAAAGCGGAACAAUCUUUUCAAAAUUUAACUAAAAAUCACAUUUUUAACCCUUGUUCCCGUAGCAUUUUUUUCUUAUUUUUUUCACAAAAAAAAAAAAAUAAAAGUAAAAAUUUUAGCUAAUAAGCUAAUAUUACAAAAGUUGGAAUGUAGGUACAUAGUUACAGUAAAAAAAUUUUUAAAUUCCAUUAAAAUCCAGUUGCUCAAAAUUUUAAACGAUUAAGAGCCAAUUUUUCAAUCUUCUAAUAAACAGUCAGUUAACUGUUCGACGAAUAAAGUUAUUAGGCUCAUAAACAAUCAGAUAAAAACAUUGAAUUUUUCAAUCAAGAAUAAUUUAAUCUACAGAAUAACAAAAAAAAAUUGUCAAAUUCAAAAAUAUUUAAAAUUAAACGUCAUUUUUAUUCAUGAUUGUUUUUGUUUUCUUGUGUUCCACUGUAUUUUUUUCAAAAUUCUUUCAAAACAGCUUUGACAACAGACACAAUAUUUUUGUUGAGAUUAUUUCUUAGAAUAAUUUUUAUUCGUCUCUGAAAGAAGCAGAUAGUUUUAUUCUAAGGAAUAAGCUAUAUCUGCUUGUUGAAAAAUUGAUUUUUUCUCUAUCCUUAGGAAUAAGUACUAAAUGACUGUUUAACUGACUAUUGAAAAAUUGGCGCUUAGUUAAAUGCUAAUAGAAUUUUUAGUAAGUUACUUUUUAUGUUAAGAAAUGGUCUUUUUGACUUAGCAACUUACUUAAGCGGCCUUAUAUUUUUCUUAAUCGUUUAAAAUUUUGCACCUUGAGUCUUAUGUCGUUUUCGAUUGGUUUCACUCAAGGAUUCACUCAUUCUGAAAUCGAAUGGAACAGGUCAAAUCGCUUGCACUCAAUUCUGUUUUUUUUUUCUGUGUUUGUGUAUUUUCUUUUAAAUUUCAAAUGUCAAAUAUUUAUAUUAAUUUAUUUUUCUUUCAAAUGAAAUGUUUUAAAUUUUUUUUAAAAUUGGUAAUGUUCAAGAAAUUAAUAGUGAAAUUGGUUUCCAAAAUAUUUUAAGCAAGUUUGAAAAUUAAUUAAAAAAUUUAUUUCGGAAAAAAAUUAAUAUAUUUCAAAAAAUAAAAAAAAUAUUGAUUGAGUGAUUAAUUUGACUUUUAAAUAUUCGUGUAUUAGUGCUUCUCGAGUGAAUUCCGGUUUUAAAUCGGGAAGAGAAUUUCUCUUCUGAGAAGCGUUCUGCCUGUCAUAUUCGUGCGAAUAAAACGCUUUCAGAAGGCUUCUGAAUGAUUCCGGACGCUUCCGGAGAGCCAAUCGAAAACGACAUUACAAUAAGGUACCUACUGUAAUAAAUAAUAAAAUUUAAAUAAAUUAUUAAAAUAAAUUUUUGUUGGUCAGAGAAUUCACUAACCAGUACCUCAUACGCACAUUUUUGAGUUUUGAUUAUAUUGGAACAGAACACAAAAAAGAAUUGAGCAGAUAAUAGACCAAAAUAAAAACGCCUCGCUUUUAAUGAACUCGAUUCGCUUUUUGAAUAAGGAAUGAAUUAAGAGUAGCAUACAAAAAGUGAGAUUUUUAAAGGCUUCAAAAGAGUACAAUCCCGGACAAUUGAUAGAAACUAUCCCGGACGUCCCCCACACAGCCAAAAAAGAGUACAUGUCCGGGAAAACCCGGACGCAUGGCAACCCUACCCUACUAUGAGAUAAUGAAAUUUCUGAUCCCAAAUGUGGAAGUGCCAAGAACUUUCGGGAACAUGGAGAAGGAGGGAGACACAAAUAAUGAAGUCUUCGCGACAGUUCCUACGGAGGAAGAAAUAACAACACCCUCGAAUAAGCGACCAAAUAGUUCUCCCACUGCACAAAAGCCGACAAAAAAAAAAUAAAAAAAAAUCAGAAUCAGACGCUGAUAGAUUUUUGGCGGCAUUGAGUGGGAUGAGUGAACCCGAGACCCAACCGUUGGAGAAGUUUUUUUUAUCUCUUGCGCAACGCGCAAGUUCCUGGAGCCGAAAAAAACAAUCCGAUUUGGAAAUGUUGACUCUGCAAGUUUUCCAUCAAAUCGAA